UCCUACGGGGGGCAGCAGUGAGGAAUAUUGGUCAAUGGCCGAGAGGCUGAACCAGCCAAGUCGCGUGAGGGAAGACGGCACUAAGGGUUGUAAACCUCCUUUGUCGGGGAGCAAAGAGAGUCACGUGCGACUCAUUGAGAGUACCCGAAGAAAAAGCAUCGGCUAACUCCGUGCCAGCAGCCGCGGUAAUACGGAGGAUCCGAGCGUUCUCCGGAUUUAUUGGGUUUAAAUGGAGCGUA
rnacentral:rRNA from 1 species